rnacentral:rRNA from 1 species
UACGUAGGGCGCAAGCGUUGUCCGGAAUUAUUGGGCGUAAAGAGCUCGUAGGUGGUGUGUCGCGUCUGCCGUGAAAGCCCGGGGCUUAACUCCGGGUCUGCGGUGGAUACGGGCAGACUAGAGGCAGGUAGGGGAGAACGGAAUUCCCGGUGUAGCGGUGAAAUGCGCAGAUAUCGGGAGGAACACCGGUGGCGAAGGCGGUUGCCUGGGGCUUUGCUGACGCUGAUGCGCGAAAGCGUGGGGAGCGAUCCGG